GGCUCUAUGGGCAAAUGGUUAAGCCCUCGUUGUAAGUUUGCAACCUCCUUGAGCACUUUGUGACGAGAGUGCUGGUUCGAAUCCAGCUAGGGCCA